rnacentral:rRNA from 1 species
UACGGGAGUGGCAAGCGUUAUCCGGAAUUAUUGGGCGUAAAGCGUCCGCAGGCGGUCUUGUAAGUCUGUUGUUAAAGCGUGGAGCUUAACUCCAUUUCAGCAAUGGAAACUGUAAGACUAGAGUGCGGUAGGGGCAGAGGGAAUUCCCGGUGUAGCGGUGAAAUGCGUAGAUAUCGGGAAGAACACCAGUGGCGAAGGCGCUCUGCUGGGCCAUAACUGACGCUCAUGGACGAAAGCCAGGGGAGCGAAAGGGAUUAGAUACCCCUGUAGUCCUGGCCGUAAACGAUGAACACUAGGUGUCGGGGGAAUCGACCCCCUCGGUGUCGUAGCCAACGCGUUAAGUGUUCCGCCUGGGGAGUACGCACGCAAGUGUGAAACUCAAAGGAAUUGACGGGGGCCCGCACAAGCGGUGGAGUAUGUGGUUUAAUUCGAUGCAACGCGAAGAACCUUACCAGGGUUUGACAUCCUGCGAAUCUCUUGGAAACGAGAGAGUGCCUUCGGGAACGCAGUGACAGGUGGUGCAUGGCUGUCGUCAGCUCGUGUCGUGAGAUGUUGGGUUAAGUCCCGCAACGAGCGCAACCCACGUCGUUAGUUGCCAGCAUUUAGUUGGGCACUCUAGCGAGACCGCCGGUGAUAAACCGGAGGAAGGUGUGGAUGACGUCAAGUCAUCAUGCCCCUUACAUCCUGGGCUACACACGUACUACAAUGCUACGGACAAAGGGCAGCAAACUCGCGAGAGCUAGCAAAUCCCAUAAACCGUGGCUCAGUUCAGAUCGUAGGCUGCAACUCGCCUACGUGAAGGAGGAAUCGCUAGUAAUCGCAGGUCAGCAUACUGCGGUGAAUACGUUCCCGGGCCU